GUUCUCUUUGGACGGGGACAUCCGAUAAAAUUGAAACAAUACAGAGAAGAUUAGCAUGGCCCCUGCACAAGAAUGACACGCACAACUCGAGACCAUAACACAUGUAU